AGUUGGGGGCAAACUCCAGCUCCCGUAGGAGUCCGGACGAAGUCUUCUUGCGGUUGAAGUCGGGGGCGAAGUUCGGCUCUCAUAGGAGUCCGGACGGAGUCUACCUGCGAUCAGAGUCGGGGGUGAAGUCCGGCUCCUGUAGGAGUCCGGACGAAGUCUUCUUGCGGUUGAAGUCGGGGGUGAAGUCCGGCUCCCGUAGGAGUCCGGAUGAAGUCUUGAAGGUGGUCGAUCACCGUGGAAACUAGGGUGGAGUCCGUCCGUCGUGAAGGAUCCGAUCGACGUUGGUGGGGGUUUAUCCAUCGGCAGAACUUGGAAAUGUUGUGG
rnacentral:lncRNA from 1 species